rnacentral:rRNA from 1 species
UACGUCGGGUGCGAGCGUUGUCCGGAAUUAUUGGGCGUAAAGCGCUCGUAGGCGGUGUGUCACGUCGGCCGUGAAAACCUGCAGCUUAACUGUGGGCGUGCGGUCGAUACGGGCAUCACUGGAGUUCGGCAGGGGAGACUGGAAUUCCUGGUGUAGCGGUGAAAUGCGCAGAUAUCAGGAGGAACACCGGUGGCGAAGGCGGGUCUCUGGGCCGAUACUGACGCUGAGACGCGAAAGCGUGGGGAGCAAACAGG